rnacentral:lncRNA from 1 species
GGCGGCGGGCAACAACGACGACGUCGGCCUCCAAGACCCCAUCCCGGCCUCUGUUGGAAUAUGUAGGUAUCCACUCCUUCCCCUUCCCCUUCACUUGCUGCUCGCAAAUCUGUUUCUGCAUCCUCUAUUAGAACUUGUUUUUCUCCGUUUUUUCGAGAUGUGCUAGUCUGUAUGAAUGUAUAAUUGGCACGUAGCUCAAAACGAAACAUGCAAAUGGUUCAAUACAUUUACGGGCAGCAUCGGGAUGGCAUGGUUGAACGCAAAAAGAAAAUUCCAUAACUGACAAAACUGAAAAAUUAAAGACUUCCUUCCUCGUCCUGGGUGAAAACCAUGUGACUGCUUGCACGAUGCAUCAAACGUAGUAUCUGAAACAAUAUUGUCCUCCUGCCUGUCUGCCUGCAAGUGGACGUUUUGUAAUGGCACUACACGCCGUCUCAGACGGCUGUCGCCGGUGGCGAGGUUAAAUAUUCUUCUUGUGAGCAUCCAGCUAAAAUGUAUUUCAGAACAUUUUAGAGUGGAAGAGAAGAGAAUUAGGGCAUUAGAUUCAAUUGCAAAUAUGUUGAAUGCAAGUGGAUGGAACGUCAAUGUUACCCCUAAGAGGAAACAAAUGAUGCAAUGGAUUCACUGCACAACUUGUGAAUAAGUGCCACCAACUGGGUGAUGAUGCUGAUGGCAAGGCAUUGGUAACACGCUUGUAAAUGUCAAGGCCGUGAACCCCGUGUCAUGACUGACGAAAAUGAAAAACGAAUCACUUUCCCCCCUUGUAUUGGGUCACUACUCACGUGAUGCACCAGACGUGCCUGCAAGUCGGUGUUUUGUAAUGCCAGUGCAUGAUGUCUCAAAUGCCUGCAAGUGGGUGUUUUUAAAGCCUGCAUCGCUAAUUGAUUUUAAUUUCGACCACAGGCUAUAGACAGACGGCUGGUCUGGAGUUUGAACUAAAUCCCCAUGGAACUUGGCAGCUAGGAGACGAGUAGGAUCCUUUCCUUUAGGACACUUGGGGCCUAGUGGUUAACUGCUUGCUCCGUCGACCGAUGCUAUGUUCGAUGCGGCACUGUCAUCGUAAACCAUCCAUCCAUUACCAGCAGACCAUGGGCAAUUUACAAUUGAUCUUGACCGUCUUUUCACCAGUUAAUCAAUAUUGCCCUGCACUACUUCACUCUGUUAAAUUGUUCUGACCGAGCGGCCUUGACAUCUUUAUCCGUCUGCCAACGCAACUUCACAUUGAGAUUCCGUGUAGCCGUCACAUAGGUUCAGAUAAAUCUGUGGACAACACAACAGUGCUUUGCUAGUACCUUAGGCCAUGUACUUGUCGAGAGGUUCAUGUGGCAACUGAAAUGGCUCCCUAUGUAUGAUCGUAACCUCACGCAUUCUCCUCUCCUGAUUACUGAUGGAUUUACAUUCCUUUGUCUGUCAGGUACCAUGCCAACCGGAUGCUCAGCUUCUACGCCCCCGGUGAGCUUCCCCCAUUUGCUGAAUUCUAAAACUGCUCAAAUAUGGUUUGUGAUCCAAGUGGGUCGAUUGAUUUGAUGUUAAUUUCUUUGCUUCACUCUGUUUAUUUAUGGCUACUACUUGUUCUGAUUCGUGCAUCUACACUUGGUGUGACUGAUGUGUACAUGAUCCCAAGCGUGCUGUAGUUUAGCAUGGAUUGAUGAUCUCGUAUUGGAGAGUUCAAGGGCACAUAGGCAGUGUGCCCUUGUAUAUCUAUCUGAGCAGUUGAUUUCACCUGUAGUGCUUCUACUUGAAAUGUGAUGAUCCACGUGCUAACUGUUUG